rnacentral:rRNA from 1 species
GACGAACGCUGGCGGCGUGCUUAACACAUGCAAGUCGAACGGAAAGGCCCUGCUUUUGUGGGGUGCUCGAGUGGCGAACGGGUGAGUAACACGUGAGUAACCUGCCCUUGACUUUGGGAUAACUUCAGGAAACUGGGGCUAAUACCGGAUAGGAGCUCCUGCUGCAUGGUGGGGGUUGGAAAGUUUCGGCGGUUGGGGAUGGACUCGCGGCUUAUCAGCUUGUUGGUGGGGUAGUGGCUUACCAAGGCUUUGACGGGUAGCCGGCCUGAGAGGGUGACCGGCCACAUUGGGCCUGAGGUACGGCCCAGACUCCUACGGGAGGCAGCGGUGGAGAAUAUUGCACACUGGGCGGCAGCCUGAUGCAGCGACGCCGCGUGCGGGAUGACGGCCUUCGGGUUGUAAACCGCUUUCGCCUGUGACGAAGAGUGAGUGACGGUAAUGGGUAAAGAAGCACCGGCUAACUACGUG